UCGGGAAUUUUGGGCAAUGGGCGAAAGCCUGACCCAGCAACGCCGCGUGAAGGAUGAAGUAUUUCGGUAUGUAAACUUCGAAAGAAUAGGAAGAAUAAAUGACGGUACUAUUUAUAAGGUCCGGCUAACUACGUGCCAGCAGCCGCGGUAAUACGUAGGGACCAAGCGUUGUUCGGAUUUACUGGGCGUAAAGGGCGCGUAGGCGGCAAUUCAAGUCAUCUGUGAAAUCUCCGGGCUUAACUCGGAACGGUCAGAUGAUACUGCUUUGCUAGAGUGCAGAAGGGGCAAUCGGAAUUCUUGGUGUAGCGGUGAAAUGCGUAGAUAUCAAGAGGAACACCUGAGGUGAAGACGGGUUGCUGGGCUGACACUGACGCUGAGGCGCGAAAGCCAGGGGAGCAAACGGGAUUAGAUACCCGGGUAGUCCCUGAGCGGGCUGGCAAGGCGCAU
rnacentral:rRNA from 1 species